rnacentral:rRNA from 1 species
UGGGGAAUUUUGCGCAAUGGGCGAAAGCCUGACGCAGCAACGCCGCGUGGGUGAUGAAGGUCUUCGGAUCGUAAAACCCUGUCGUCAGGGACGAAGGUUACGGGUUGAAUAUUCCUGUGACUUGACGGUACCUGGAGAGGAAGCCCCGGCUAACUCUGUGCCAGCAGCCGCGGUAAUACAGAGGGGGCAAGCGUUAUUCGGAAUUAUUGGGCGUAAAGGGCGCGUAGGCGGUGUUUUAAGUGAGAUGUGCAAUCCCCGAGCUUAACUUGGGAACUGCAUCUCAGACUGGAACGCUAGAGUACUGGAGAGGGUGGUAGAAUUCCACGUGUAGCGGUGAAAUGCGUAGAGAUGUGGAGGAAUACCAGUGGCGAAGGCGGCCACCUGGACAGUAACUGACGCUGAGGCGCGAAAGUGUGGGUAGCAAACA